rnacentral:rRNA from 1 species
GACGAACGCUGGCGGCGUGCUUAACACAUGCAAGUCGAACGGAAAGGCUCCAGCUUGCUGGAGUACUCGAGUGGCGAACGGGUGAGUAACACGUGGGUAAUCUGCCCUGCACUCUGGGAUAAGCCUGGGAAACUGGGUCUAAUACUGGAUAUGACCUUUCUCCUUAUGGGGUUUGGUGGAAAGUUUUUCGGUGUAGGAUGAGCCCGCGGCCUAUCAGCUUGUUGGUGGGGUGAUGGCCUACCAAGGCGACGACGGGUAGCCGGCCUGAGAGGGUGAUCGGCCACAUUGGGACUGAGAUACGGCCCAGACUCCUACGGGAGGCAGCAGUGGGGAAUAUUGCACAAUGGGCGGAAGCCUGAUGCAGCGACGCCGCGUGAGGGAUGACGGCCUUCGGGUUGCAAACCUCUUUCAGCAGGGACGAAGCGUAAGUGACGGUACCUGCAGAAGAAGCACCGGCUAACUAUGUG